rnacentral:rRNA from 1 species
CGGGCUGAGUAACGCGUAGGUGACCUACCCCGAAGUGGGGAAUAACUGCCCGAAAGGGUGGCUAAUACCGCAUGUGAUGGUUCGUUCAUUCGGGCCAUUAAAGCAGCGAUGCGCCUCGGGAGGGGCCUGCGUCCGAUUAGCUCGUUGGUGGGGUAACGGCUCACCAAGGCGACGAUCGGUAGGUGGUCUGAGAGGACGAUCACCCAGACUGGGACUGAGACACGGCCCAG